rnacentral:rRNA from 1 species
UACGUAGGGGGCUAGCGUUGUCCGGAAUCAUUGGGCGUAAAGCGCGUGUAGGCGGCCCGGUAAGUCCGCUGUGAAAGUCAAGGGCUCAACCCUUGAAAGCCGGUGGAUACUGUCGGGCUAGAGUGCGGGAGAGGGAUGUGGAAUUCCGGGUGUAGCGGUGAAAUGCGUUGAGAUCGACAGGAACGCCGGUGGCGAAAGCGGGCCGCUGGCCCUCUUCUGACGCUGAGGCGCGAAAGCCAGGGGAGCGAACGGG